rnacentral:rRNA from 1 species
UGGGGAAUUGUUCGCAAUGGGCGCAAGCCUGACGACGCAACGCCGCGUGGAGGACGAAGAUCUUCGGGUCGUAAACUCCUGUCGUGCGGGAAGAAUGUGCGGGGGGUGAAUAACCCCACGCAUUGACGGUACCGCGAGAGGAAGCCCCGGCUAACUCCGUGCCAGCAGCCGCGGUAAUACGGGGGGGGCAAGCGUUGUUCGGAAUUACUGGGCGUAAAGGGCUCGUAGGCGGUCGCAUAAGUCGGUCGUGAAAUCCCUCGGCUUAACUGAGGAAUGGCGUCCGAAACUGCGCGACUUGAGUGCCGGAGAGGGUGGCGGAAUUCCAGGUGUAGCGGUGAAAUGCGUAGAUAUCUGGAGGAACACCGGUGGCGAAGGCGGCCACCUGGACGGCAACUGACGCUGAGGAGCGAAAGCCAGGGGAGCAAACGGGAUUAGAUACCCCCGUAGUCC